rnacentral:ncRNA from 1 species
GCGGAGGCUCGUAGGUGCCCGCCCCGGACGAGAUGUGCGCGUACCCGGCCCGCUAAGACGACGCACU